UGAACGCUGGCGGCGUGCCUAAUACAUGCAAGUCGAGCGAACGGACGAGAAGCUUGCUUCUCUGAUGUUAGCGGCGGACGGGUGAGUAACACGUGGAUAACCUACCUAUAAGACUGGGAUAACUUCGGGAAACCGGAGCUAAUACCGGAUAAUAUUUUGAACCGCAUGGUUCAAAAGUGAAAGACGGUCUUGCUGUCACUUAUAGAUGGAUCCGCGCUGCAUUAGCUAGUUGGUAAGGUAACGGCUUACCAAGGCAACGAUGCAUAGCCGACCUGAGAGGGUGAUCGGCCACACUGGAACUGAGACACGGUCCAGACUCCUACGGAAGGCAGCAGUAGGGAAUCUUCCGCAAUGGGCGAAAGCCUGACGGAGCAACGCCGCGUGAGUGAUGAAGGUCUUCGGAUCGUAAAACUCUGUUAUUAGGGAAGAACAUAUGUGUAAGUAACUGUGCACAUCUUGACGGUACCUAAUCAGAAAGCCACGGCUAACUACGUG
rnacentral:rRNA from 1 species